ACAGCAGCCUGAGCGACACGACCACGAGGCACUUCCAGGGCUGGAACAGGGUUCCAGGGCACCCCCUGGCAGUAUCGAGCCAUCUAUGCUGGCAGCUUCAACGCAAGGUAGGACCGUCCUUCUAUAACAAUUGUACAAAGGUCAAUUUCAUUUCCACUGUGGGCUGCCCUCAAAGAUAG